GUUACGCUGGCCGGCGUGCUUAACACAUGCAAGUCGAACGAUGGAACCACUUCGGUGGGGAUUAGUGGCGAACGGGUGAGUAACACGUGGGCAAUCUGCCCUUCACUCUGGGACAAGCCCUGGAAACGGGGUCUAAUACCGGAUAAUACUUCUCUCCUCCUGGGAGGGUUGUUGAAAGCUCCGGCGGUGAAGGAUGAGCCCGCGGCCUAUCAGCUUGUUGGUGAGGUAGUGGCUCACCAAGGCGACGACGGGUAGCCGGCCUGAGAGGGCGACCGGCCACACUGGGACUGAGACACGGCCCAGACUCCUACGGGAGGCAGCAGUGGGGAAUAUUGCACAAUGGGCGAAAGCCUGAUGCAGCGACGCCGCGUGAGGGAUGACGGCCUUCGGGUUGUAAACCUCUUUCAGCAGGGAAGAAGCGAAAGUGACGGUACCUGCAGAAGAAGCGCCGGCUAACUACGUGCCAGCAGCCGCGGUAAUACGUAGGGCGCAAGCGUUGUCCGGAAUUAUUGGGCGUAAAGAGCUCGUAGGCGGCUUGUCACGUCGGGUGUGAAAGCCCGGGGCUUAACCCCGGGUCUGCAUUCGAUACGGGCUACUAGAGUGUGGUAGGGGAGAUCGGAAUUCCUGGUGUAGCGGUGAAAUGCGCAAAUAUCAGAGGAACACCGGUGGCGAAGGCGGAUCUCUGGGCCAUUACUGACCUGAGGAGCGAAAGCGUGGGGAGCGAACAGGAUUAAUACCCUGGUAGUCCAC
rnacentral:rRNA from 1 species